CCUACGGGUGCAGUGGGGAAUAUUGGACAAUGGGCGAAAGCCUGAUCCAGCCAUGCCGCGUGUGUGAAGAAGGCCUUCGGGUUGUAAAGCACUUUCAGUGGGGAAGAAAGCCUUGGGGCUAAUACCCUCGAGGAAGGACAUCACCCACAGAAGAAGCACCGGCUAACUCCGUGCCAGCAGCCGCGGUAAUACGGAGGGUGCGAGCGUUAAUCGGAAUUACUGGGCGUAAAGCGCGCGUAGGCGGUCUGAUAAGCCGGUUGUGAAAGCCCCGGGCUCAACCUGGGAACGGCAUCCGGAACUGUCAGGCUAGAGUGCAGGAGAGGAAGGUAGAAUUCCCGGUGUAGCGGUGAAAUGCGUAGAGAUCGGGAGGAAUACCAGUGGCGAAGGCGGCCUUCUGGACUGACACUGACGCUGAGGUGCGAAAGCGUGGGUAGCAAACAGGAUUAGAUACCCGUGUAGUC
rnacentral:rRNA from 1 species